rnacentral:rRNA from 1 species
GUCCACGCCGUAAACGAUGGGUGCUAGGUGUGGGAGGUGUCAACUCCUUCCGUGCCGUAGCUAACGCAUUAAGCACCCCGCCUGGGGAGUACGGCCGCAAGGCUAAAACUCAAAGGAAUUGACGGGGACCCGCACAAGCAGCGGAGCAUGUGGUUUAAUUCGAUGCAACGCGAAGAACCUUACCAGGGCUUGACAUGCACUGGAAAUCCGUAGAAAUACGGCCCUCCUUCGGGACCAGUGCACAGGUGGUGCAUGGCUGUCGU